UUGGAUUAGCUAGUUGGUGGGGUAAAGGCCUACCAAGGCGACGAUCCAUAGCUGGUCUGAGAGGAUGAUCAGCCACAUUGGGACUGAGACACGGCCCAAACUCCUACGGGAGGCAGCAGUGGGGAAUAUUGGACAAUGGGCGCAAGCCUGAUCCAGCCAUGCCGCGUGAGUGAUGAAGGCCUUAGGGUUGUAAAGCUCUUUCACCGAUGAAGAUAAUGACGGUAGUCGGAGAAGAAGCCCCGGCUAACUUCGUGCCAGCAGCCGCGGUAAUACGAAGGGGGCUAGCGUUGUUCGGAAUUACUGGGCGUAAAGCGCACGUAGGCGGAUAUUUAAGUCAGGGGUGAAAUCCCGCAGCUCAACUGCGGAACUGCCUUUGAUACUGGGUAUCUUGAGUAUGGAAGAGGUCAGUGGAAUUGCGAGUGUAGAGGUGAAAUUCGUAGAUAUUCGCAGGAACACCAGUGGCGAAGGCGGCUGACUGGU
rnacentral:rRNA from 1 species